rnacentral:lncRNA from 1 species
GGCUUACAGUUCAUCAAAGUUUCGGUCCACAAUUGACUGGCUCCGAGGCAGGAUAACAAACAGGCAUCGCAGAGAAGAAGCAACAUGGCUUGCUCAAGGUGGCAAAGGCAAUAAGAGACAGAUUAACAGCGUCUUUCUGCCCCUUUUUAUCUUUUUCAGACUACUUAGGGAGGAUAGCAUGCACACGCGGGCCUAACCCCACUAUGAGUCAAUCACAGAAUCAAGAUUUAACUACCUCGGGAAGGAAAAGCAUGAAGCUUUGGGGGCACUGGAGACUCUUGCAGUCAGGUUCAUGACGCAGUACAUGACGCAGGCCUGGGAAAGAAAUACACUAAGAGAUCUGAGAGAGAAAGCAGGGUGCAGGGACGACCAAUGCCAGUGUAACCGACAAAGGCCCUAGCCAGUCCCAGACAGACUUUCACAGGCAAUCAGUUGGGGUAAAGGCAAGCUAUGUGCAGUUUCUAUGGAAAUUAAUGUAAACAAGGCUCCUAAGGACAAGACAAAGCAUUCUUGAUUAGGAACAGAAUAGACAAAAUUUAUGGAAGCUGGGCAUGGUGGCACACGCCUGUAAUCUCAGCACUCAGGAGGCUGAGGCAGGAGGACUGCUGUGAGUUUGAGAGUCUGAGACCAGCCUGGGCUACAUAGUGAGUUCCAGGUCAGACUCAACUACAUAGUGAGAUCCUGUCUCAAAAAUCAAACAAACAAACAAAAAAAGACAAAAUAUACGGCUGUAAUUAGAAUAUUAUCCUUCUAAUCAGGAGGUUUUAGUUGUGGAAACGGAAUUUGGGUGUGAGUUUCUCUGACCCGGGCAAGUAGGCUUCAGCCAGACUCACUUCAUAAACAAGGCAAUUGUGGGGUUAACUCUUUACAGUCUGUUUUGGACGAGAUCAAUACUGCAGUCCUCUGCAGGGGGGACAUCUAAACCGAGCCAUAACAAUCCCCAAGGCCCUAAACCACAGGCUGUGCGUGCUAACCGAUUACCACCCAUGCCCUCUGGACUUGACCUCGGGUCAAACUCAUACUUCUCCUCAAGCUUGGUCCAGCAACAGCUGUGCUGCUUCUUCCUGCUCCUGCCCAGUAGCUGCUCACUGUUUCGGGACAUCCUGUGUGGCUGCCCAACACGCUCCUCCUCGGUCUGUCUUCCCGCCUGUCCCAUUCACCUCUGCACUCCCAGGACCCCGGCAGAGUUUCAGGAAGGGAUAUUUACUGCCUGCGCCAGCUCCGUGUUUUCUGGGGCACCCGGAUGCCCGGAUCACAGCUGGGGUCCUUCCGUUUUAUUAACAGGAUGUUGGUCUGCGGCCCGGCCAGUCCUGGACCUCAGUGCCCGGGCUAGGGUGCAGCCUGUCUCUUGUUUGCGCCAGAGUCAGGCUUCGUCAGAGACCCCUCUGUCAACUCCCCCGGGGAUGAUUCCACGGCCUUCCUUUGCUCUCUGCGGUUCCUGGACUUAGCGGACUUCUGGCCCUGGUGUGGCUCUGCAAGGCAGAGGAACACGUGUUUCUACCUUCUCAUCACCAACACCUGCUCCAUGGAGCGCCCCACCGGCAGCUCCUGGGCCCCUACUACCUGCCCCGGACUCCCACGCCUGCCCACGCGAGGGCUCCCUCGGGAGAGCCUCAGAACUAGAGCUAAAAGCGACGUCCUCUGAGACCACGGAGGCGCCAGGCAUGGAUCGCGUCGCCAGGACUGCACAUCCGCUCGGGAUGUCUCCGUGCUCCCUCCAGAGACAGGGACGAGUAAUUUGUGACAACGAAAAGUGCACGAUUUUUAAAUUGUAAUGCUAUCUUAUUAUUUUAAAAGUAUUUGUUAUUUUUAAAUCCAACACAGUAGACGUUUCUGGUCUGCAAUGCUCUUGAGUUGGGGGCAGCCUGGUGCUCCCAGAACACCACAUCUCUUCGCUAGGCCCUUCCCCGGCUCUCAGCUACCCUGGGCGCCCUCCGCAAGGGGACCUGACGGCGGGGUCCAACUUCCUCCCUGAGCUCCGAAACUGUGAGCUGGGCACUCUGGACGCGGAAACCCCGGAGUCGCUGCGGGAAUCUGCAGUAGGGGACGGGGAGGGGCGUGGACGGCAGAGACAGGGGCG